UUGUCACUCAUUUCCCAACGUCUUGUCUCUUCUCACAAUUCAAGUUCCUAGAAUCAACCCAUCCCAGAGGUCGCAAUCGGGUACCCGAUACCCGGCUGGGUACGGGUAGGGUACGGGUACGGCCGGGUACGGUACCCGUUUGCGACCCUGGUGCGGCCGGGUACGGGUAAGGAAUCAAAACCCGUUUGCGACCUCUGCUUCAAACUCGUGUGUUCGGACAGCGCAGGGGACACGCAGCGUUGGUGUGCGACUCGCCACAGAUGAAUGUUUUUUUCUGUCGUCCUGUUAAACAUCAGAAGAGGGACAGUGCCAGUAAAACGAUGGUGCCAAUAGCCAUCGUGGUGCCCUCCCCAGCUUGACAGAUCCAUUCAUUCUAGAUUUGAAGCUUUCGUGACUGCAAGGAUUCAUAUUCUUAGGUUUUUUCGGUAAAGUCACGUAGAUAAAAAAUUAAAAUUAAUAAAAGUAAAAUAAAAAUAAAAUCACAUCAAGUGAUGCAGCAGUCGUGCUGUGACGGUUCCACCUGAAGACGGAAGCUUGUGUUGCCUCCGAAACGUCGUGAUUUUUAUUUUACUUUUAUCAAUUUUAAUUUUUUACCUACGUGACUUUACCGAAAAAACCUAAGAAUAAGACAGAUCCAUUCCUGCUGCGGUAGUCACCAGGUCAGAUCCUACACCAAGGCAUUGCCCAUUCCUGCUGUCUUCUGAAUGAAAAGUGGUGUGCGGAGACUUUUAAAGAACCUGCAAAGGCAUCACUCCAUGUAAAAGUUGGCUACUGCGUGUGGCGGCGGCGGCGGCGGCGGCGUUGCUACCUGGUUCGCUAACAUGCGAUCACCUUGCCUGUGGGUAAGUGACAAACGCCGUCAAUAGCCGUUCCGAUUCAACGCGUCACUCGCGUUUUCAUUCAAGGAAAAGUCACGAGCGUUAAAAUACGACGACUCAAUGCGCAACCUGUUGACACACUCGCACGCGUGGAAUUGUGAGGUGUAAAGAACUGAUAAUUGGUUUUUUACCCUUCUAUCUGGCAACAAAACUGACACCUUUUUCACAAGGAGUCAUGUUUUCAUAGACCACAAUACCUGCAGCCAUAAUGCAAACAAAAAACACAACUCUGAUAAUGUAUGCACUGUCCUUGAAGUUGAUUGGUUCACACCCGAGACAGCUUUCCUUACAGCCGAGUCUCACAUGGGUUGGACCAGAUGACGCCAAAAGGCUCUAAGGAAAGCUGUCUCGGGUGAGGACCAAUCAACUUCAAGGACAGUGCAUACAUUAUCAGAGUUGUGUUUUUGUUUGCAUUACGACUGCAGGUAUUGCAAACAUGACUCCUUGUAAAAAAAGGUGUCAGUUUUGUUGCCAGAUAGAAGGGUAAAAAACCAAUUAUAAUUUUUUACUGGCAAAUGAGGUUCCAAUGGUGUAAAGAACUGGUUGGUUCCACAUGUUAGCCCACUUAAACGUGCUCCAGUAGUGUAAACGAAUUGUUUGGUGAUACGCUUGAGCAGUGUGGUGCACAAAAACACGAAACGUGUUCCGUGUCGAUAACACCGUAGCCUUCAAAGUGAACUAUACAAUAACACCUACAUCAUCAUUGAUAUAAAUUAUGGAUUCAAAGCGAUGAUUUGUGCCUGUCAUGUGACCUGUAAUAUUCUUUUUAAUGCCACCGUGCUAUUGAGGAAUGUGCCCUCUAUGAACUCAUACCCCAAUUCUGCAAAGCACUGCAGCAUGAAUGCCUUGCGGCUCCCACCAUCGCAUGUGCAAUGCUUUCAGCCCUGUGACAAUAGGUUUUCCCCAUUUUUCUAGCAACAAAACAGCUGUGUUAAGAUGUUAAAACACCCAAACUGAAACCUUUUACAAGGAAUCAUGUCUGCAUUAACCACAAAGUUUGUGAAAAGGGGAAAACCUCUUCUCAUAUUUUGGUACUGGCAAAGGAGGCCCCAUGAUGUAGCUCUCAGCCCUGUCUAGACCACCAGCUCAACAGAACUACAAUGUAUUGUUUAGGCCACUAUGCAGAAAAAAAAUGUAAUUAUUACCCUAAACUGUACAAGGUCAAUGAAUCAUGAAGGGUGUUGGAUCAUUUUACAUAAUGGUGCAGAUAAUAACAUUUAAAAUUUGCGGCGGGUUGACAGCCACUUAAAUUCCACUCCAAAAAAAAAGCCACAACGAAAACAAACUCGCACUCAAUAAUACUGUGGCCUUGAGAAAAGUACAGAGGAGGUGACAUUUCAGGUAAUGGGCCUUAACAUCCCACCAACCUCUGGCCUACGUGCUGCCCUGUUACGCAUUGUUUUUUCAAGGCCACGGUGUUAUUGACAAGUGUUUGAUUGUUGUUUUGUGCUUUUCGCGCUAUCGCCAUCGCUGCGGCAGAGUUGCCACCAAGAUCAUUUGUUUUCACUCUGGAAAGACGUAACUUCUGAAGCAAACCCAAGUCUUAAAUCUACGUCGUCGAUAAGAACGGAGUCUAUUUGGCGAAUUGAGAUGUCAACGUGGCACGCACGGUGAUCCAUCUGCGCCGUUUAUAUGUUUGUGAUUUCUUGUUAAUCCCACCCCCCAAAAUAACUGCUCUCAGAGGAUUCGUGUUUGCAGACUUAUCGCGAAGCCAUUCUCUGCGCACAAUUCCUCGCACCGCUCUCAGUCACGGUGCCAAUAAUGUAGCAGAUUCUGAGUGGUGUAACAAUAACGCUUGUGUGUAAAGUGUUUUUUAGUUCGGGGUUUUUGGUUGUGGUUUUUUUUCUGUCUCUUACGACUGCGCUCGUGUUUCAACUCGCCCUGCAAUAAUGAUGAUUCCUGUAGCCUUGUUAGUUUCACGAGUUUCUGACGCACACUCAAAAACGUGGCCAUCACCUCAUGUUUUUAUUCAACCAAAAUGGCCUCGCCGAGUGAGAGGAGGUGGGGGUUCCUGGUUUGGCAAUCUUGUGGCCACUUAUUUGAACACGGCAAAGGGAAAAAUCUAAUCGGUACCCAGAGAACCCGUCACAUUUGGGUGGAUAUGACACGGAAACUAAAACAAUGAAUCUUGAUUUGACUACAGGAA